rnacentral:rRNA from 1 species
UCGACGAAGCACCUUAUUUGAUUUUCUUCGGAACUGAAGAUUUGGUGACUGUAGUGGCGGACGGGUGAGUAACGCGUGGGUAACCUGCCCUGUACAGGGGGAUAACAAUCAGAAAUGACUGCUAAUACCGCAUAAGACCACAGCACCGCAUGGUGCAGAGGUAAAAACUCCGGUGGUACAGGAUGGACCCGCGUCUGAUUAGCUGGUUGGUGAGGUAACGGCUCACCAAGGCGACGAUCAGUAGCCGGCUUGAGAGAGUGAACGGCCACAUUGGGACCGAGACACGGCCCAAACUCCUACGGGAGGCAGCAGUGGGGAAUAUUGCACAAUGGGGGGAACCCUGAUGCAGCGACGCCGCGUGAGUGAAGAAGUAUCUCGGUAUGUAAAGCUCUAUCAGCAGGGAAGAAAAUGACGGUACCUGACUAAGAAGCCCCGGCUAACUACGUGCCAGCAGCCGCGGUAAUACGUAGGGGGCAAGCGUUAUCCGGAAUUACUGGGUGUAAAGGGUGCGUAGGUGGUAUGGCAAGUCAGAAGUGAAAACCCAGGGCUUAACUCUGGGACUGCUUUUGAAACUGUCAGACUGGAGUGCAGGAGAGGUAAGCGGAAUUCCUAGUGUAGCGGUGAAAUGCGUAGAUAUUAGGAGGAACAUCAGUGGCGAAGGCGGCUUACUGGACUGAAACUGACACUGAGGCACGAAAGCGUGGGGAGCAAACAGGAUUAGAUACCCUGGUAGUCCACGCCGUANACGAUGAAUACUAGGUGUC